CAAGAAGGAAAACUCCAGCAUCCACACGUUCAUCUCACCUACUCGGUUGUUUCUCUCUCUGAAAUAAAUUUCUGAUAUCCCUUUUUUAACAGCGACCAAACCCUAUCUUCUCCCACAAAAAGAAAACCAAAGAAGAACACCGACGCGCCCACCCUAGGGUCAAGGAUGAACACCUUAUGGUGUUCAUCAUUACCAUCUCAAAAGAAAACGCAUCUACAGAAUAGAAGUUCUUAUGCAAACCUUCAAACAACAAAGAAUCCAUCCAGACAAACACAUCUACACAAAUAAAUUUUAGCAAACAAGCGGCAAAACAAUGAGGCAGUGAUUGAAUGUAAAGUGCAGACAAACCAAACUUCGACCCUUAUCCCCAAUCAACACCCUUCGACCCCGAUUUCACGGUUUCCCUAGAAUAACGAUAACAUGAGGGAAGGAGGCGUGAUUCGACAUUAUUUAAGCAAGUUUAGAUGAUACCAAGAUGGCUUACAGGUUAUAGCUCUGAGAUGAUCUAAUGGAAUGGAAGGUGGCUGCUCCAAGCUUCAAGACAACCUGUUUUCGUGACUAAGUCCAAAGUGAUUUCAUCCUAAUUGCUUGGUUUUGGUCAUUAGGAACCUAUUUCCAUCUGUAGCAAUUUUUUCACUGUAAUUACUUAGUUUAGUUUUUUUUAGACAAAAUGUGUGUUUGGAUUAUUUGGGACUUAUUGAAUUAAAUUUUAAUUAUGUAAUUA